AGCAUGGACUGACAGCGUUUCACCGUCUCUCACUGGGUGCCCACCAGCCUGCCACCUCUCUGGGGCCAGGGCACUGGCAUUCCCAGAGUCCCAGCGUGAUCCUGCUGUGGGAUUUGGGGUGCAAAUACCUCUCCUGAGGCCUGGAGCAUACCCAGCUCCAGCCACCACGGGCUGCAGAGAUGAGGACUGCACUGCGCUUGUGGAAAAGGCUUGCAGCUGUGGCUCAGUGGCAGCUGGCAGAGCUCUCGUCGCCGAUUCAAGCACUGGAAUACCUUCCCUGCCUGCCCUUCUGUUGCAAAUCCAGGGGAAUAGAUCAUUUUAGAAGUUGUUCUGCACCCCCAAAAAUAUCUUCAUCUGCUGACGGAUUUCACAGAAUGGUAUAUCUGCUCACGGUGCUUUUUCACAUUAACAAGUGCAAGUGUUCAAGCACUUAAUACUGCCUUGUGGUUGAACAGCAAUAGGAAAUACCAUUGAUAACCAAGAGCAUUGAGAGCAGCAGCAAAUAUAGCUGAUCUAUCUGUGGGCAGUCCAGAGCCACAACCGCUUGUCCAGCUGUGAAAACAUGUCCUUUUUCAAAACCAAGAUUUCUUUCUACCUGAGUUGUGAAACAGAGGUCCUGACUGGUUACGGCUGUGAAAAAUC